ACAAGAUCUUAUCAAGAGUUCAAGGCCUCAUGGAGGGGAGACCACCUGUUUCUUGCUCCCAGCGGGUGGUCAUGUCGACAAGGCUGUUGGUCCUGGUGAUGGCGGUGAUGCUGCCCAGAGUGGUGGUCGGGUAGUGCUGGAAGGAUUUGAAAACCCAAAGAUUAUCUUCACAUGCUUGUAGAACAGAUUUGAGGCCAGUGUAGCCAGAGAGAAAGAAGUGGUUCCCACAAAACAAUUCAGAUUGUGCUCCAUAGCCCUGAAAAGUCUUCCUCAGAUUUAC
rnacentral:lncRNA from 1 species